AUUGAACGCUGGCGGCAGGCCUAACACAUGCAAGUCGAGCGAGCGGCGGACGGGUGAGUAAUGUAUGGGGACUGCCUGAUCGAGGGGGAUAACUACUGGAAACGGUGGCUAAUACCGCAUACUAUCGGAUAACCCAUAUGGGAUUAGCGAGUAGGUGGGGUAAAGGCCAACCUAGGCGACGAUCUAUAGCUGGUCUGAGAGGAUGAGCAGCCACACUGGGACUGAGACACGGCCCAGACUCCUACGGAGGCAGCAGUAGGGAAUAUUGCACAAUGGGCGCAAGCCUGAUGCAGCCAUGCCGCGUGUAUGAAGAAGGCCUUAGGGUUGUAAAGUACUUUCAGCGGAGAGGCGUUACCCGCAGAAGAAGCACCGGCUAACUCCGUGCCAGCAGCCGCGGUAAUAC
rnacentral:rRNA from 1 species